GAUGAAGAACGUAGCGAAAUGCGAUAAGUAAUGUGAAUUGCAGAAUUCAGUGAAUCAUCGAAUCUUUGAACGCAUCUUGCGCUCCUUGGUAUUCUGAGGAGCAUGCCUGUUUGAGUGUCAUUAAAUUCUCAACUACACUGACUUUGAAUUGGUGUGGCUUUGAUUUGGGGGGAAAAUUGUUGUGGGCUUUUUGUAUAGUCUGCUCCCCUGAAAUUGAUUAGCGGUACCUUUGUGGAACUGUCUACAGGUGUGAUAAUUAUCUACAUCUUAGACAUCUGCUGGAAUGCUGCUUUCUAAACCUUACUUGUAUUGACAAUCUUGACCUCAAAUCAGGUAGGACUACCCGCUGAACUUAAGCAUAUCAAUAAGCGGAGGA
rnacentral:misc_RNA from 1 species